rnacentral:rRNA from 1 species
CUACGUGCCAGCAGCCGCGGUAAUACGGAAGGUCCAGGCGUUAUCCGGAAUUAUUGGGUUUAAAGGGAGCGCAGGCGGGAGUGUAAGUCAGCUGUUAAAUAUCAGGGCCCAACUCUGUUAUGCAGUUGAAACUAUAUUUCUUGAGUACGCACAGGGAUGGCGGAAUUCAGGGUGUAGCGGUGAAAUGCUUAGAUAUCCUGAAGAACUCCGAUCGCGAAGGCAGCCAUCCGGAGCGUAACUGACGCUGAGGCUCGAAGGUGCGGGUAUCAAACAGGAUUAGAUACCCUGGUAGUCCGCACGGUAAACGAUGAAUACUCGCAGUUCGGUCUUUAUGGUCGAGCUGUCCAGCGAAAGCGUUAAGUAUUCCACCUGGGGAGUACGCCGGCAACGGUGAAACUCAAAGGAAUUGACGGGGGCCCGCACAAGCGGAGGAACAUGUGGUUUAAUUCGAUGAUACGCGAGGAACCUUACCCGGGCUUGAAC